AGGGACUUAGGGAUAAUAUUAAGACCAAAAGCCUUCAAAGCUCUAAGUAGAAGUGAAAAUCUUCCUAGUCCCUG
rnacentral:tRNA from 1 species